rnacentral:rRNA from 1 species
UACGUAGGGGGCAAGCGUUGUCCGGAUUAUUGGCGUAAAGAGCGUGUAGGCGGCCUGAAAGGUCAGCUGUGAAAACUCGAGGCUCAACCUCGAGACGUCGGUUGAAACCAUCUGGCUAGAGUCCGGAAGAGGAGUGUGGAAUUCCCGGUGUAGCGGUGAAAUGCGCAGAUAUCGGGAAGAACACCCGUGGCGAAGGCGGCACUCUGGGACGGUACUGACGCUGAGACGCGAAAGCGUGGGGAGCGAACAGG